AUCGAACGCUGGCGGCAUGCCUAACACAUGCAAGUCGAACGAGUGGCAGACGGGUGGGUAAUGUAUGGGAAAAUGCCUGGUGGAAGGGGCUCACUACUGGAAAAGGUAACUGAUACCGGAUACAAUCGGCAGUGCCCCGAUGGGAUGAGGUAGUAGGUGGGGUAAAGGCUGACCUAGGCGAAGGUACCUAGCUGGUCUGAGAGGAUGACCAGCCACAUUGGAACUGAGAAACGGUCCAGACGCGUACGGGAGGCAGCAGUGGGGAAUAUGGCACAAGGGGCGCAAGCCUGAUGCAGCCAUGCCGCGUGUAUGAAGAAGGCCUUCGGGUUGUAAAGUACUUUUAGCGGGGAGGCGUUACCCGCAGAAGAAGCACCGGCUAACUCCGUGCCAGCAGCCGCGGUAAUUC
rnacentral:rRNA from 1 species